ACGGGAGGCAGCAGUGAGGGAUAUUGCACAAUGGGCGAAAGCCUGAUGCAGCAACGCCGCGUGAGGGAUGACGGUCUUCGGAUUGUAAACCUUUGUCUUUGGUGACGAAGAAAGUGACGGUAGCCAAGGAGGAAGCCACGGCUAACUACGUGCCAGCAGCCGCGGUAAUACGUAGGUGGCAAGCGUUGUCCGGAAUUACUGGGUGUAAAGGGAGCGCAGGCGGGAAUGCAAGUCAGCGGUGAAAUACAUGGGCUUAACCCAUGAACUGCCGUUGAAACUGUAUUUCUUGAGUGGAGUAGAGGCAAGCGGAAUUCCGAGUGUAGCGGUGAAAUGCGUAGAUAUUCGGAGGAACACCAGUGGCGAAGGCGGCUUGCUGGGCUCUAACUGACGCUGAGGCUCGAAAGUGUGGGGAGCAAACAGGAUUAGAUACCCUGGUA
rnacentral:rRNA from 1 species